CCUUCGUUAGGUGGUCAUGAUUUCCGCUUGUCAUGUGUACAUACGUCAAGCGCGGGAGACCUGGGUUCGAUUCCCAGAUGGAGAG